UACGUAGGGGGCAAGCGUUGUCCGGAUUCAUUGGGCGUAAAGCGCGUGUAGGCGGCCAGGUAGGUCCGGUGUGAAAACUCGAGGCUCAACCUCGAGAGGUCAUCGGAAACCAUCUGGCUAGAGUCCGGAAGAGGAGAGUGGAAUUCCCGGUGUAGCGGUGAAAUGCCGCAGAGUAUACGGGAAGAACACCCAUGGCGAAGGCAGCU
rnacentral:rRNA from 1 species